rnacentral:rRNA from 1 species
UGCAGUCGAUCGCAACUACUAGCUUGCUAGUAGCAGACGAGGCAGACGGCUGAGUAAUAUACAGGAACUUCCCCCUAACACGGGCAUACCACUGCGAAAGCAGUGAUAAUUCCCGAUGGUCUCGGAUGACAUAGUGUUAUCCGAGUAAAGCUCCGGCGGUUAGGGAUAGGCCUGUAGCCUAUCAGCUAGUUGGUGAGGUAAAGGCUCACCAAGGCUAUGACGGGUAGGGGGCCUGAGAGGGUGUACCCCCAGAAUGGGACUGCGACACGGCCCAUACUCCUACGGGAGGCAGCAAUUAGGAAUCGUACGCAAUGGACGCAAGUCUGACGUCGCGACGCCGCGUGGAGGAUGAAGGCCUUCGGGUCGUAAACUCCUUUUAUAGCUGAACAAGUUCUGAGUGUAAGCUAUGAAUAAGCACCUUCUAACUACGUGCCAGAAGAAUCGGUGAUGCGUAGGGUGCAAGUGUUAUCCGGAAUCAUUGGGCGUAAAGGGAGCGUAGGCGUCCCUGCCAGUUAGACGUAAAAUCUUGCAGCUUACCUGCAAAAGGCGUCUGAUACUACAGGGAUAGAGAGUGUCAGGGGAGAGGGGAAUACCUGGUGGAGCGGUGAAAUGCGUUGAUAUCAGGUAGAACACCAGAGGCGAAGGCGCCUCUCUGGGACAUUUCUGACGCUGAUGCUCGAAAGCUAGGGUCGCAAAACGGAUUAGAUACCCGUGUAGUCCUAGCUGUAAACGAUCUUUGCUAGUUGUGCGAAGAAGUAUUUAUUGUUCUUCGGAACAACAAAGUGCUCUUUGUGCGACGCAGUUAACACAUUAAGCAAAGCGCCUGGGGAGUACGAGCGCAAGCUUAAAACUCAAAGGAAUUGACGGGGACCCGCACAAGCAGUGGAGCGCCUGGUUUAAUUCGAUGCUAAGCGAAGAACCUUAC